rnacentral:rRNA from 1 species
GAUGAACGCUAGCGGGAGGCCUAACACAUGCAAGCCGAGCGGUAUUGUUUCUUCGGAAAUGAGAGAGCGGCGUACGGGUGCGGAACACGUGUGCAACCUGCCUUUAUCUGGGGGAUAGCCUUUCGAAAGGAAGAUUAAUACUCCAUAAUAUAUUGAACGGCAUCGUUUAAUAUUGAAAGCUCCGGCGGAUAGAGAUGGGCACGCGCAAGAUUAGCUAGUUGGUGAGGUAACGGCUCACCAAGGCGAUGAUCUUUAGGGGGCCUGAGAGGGUGAUCCCCCACACUGGUACUGAGACACGGACCAGACUCCUACGGGAGGCAGCAGUGAGGAAUAUUGGUCAAUGGGUGCAAGCCUGAACCAGCCAUCCCGCGUGAAGGACGACUGCCCUAUGGGUUGUAAACUUCUUUUGUAUAGGGAUAAACCUACCCUCGUGAGGGUAGCUGAAGGUACUAUACGAAUAAGCACCGGCUAACUCCGUGCCAGCAGCCGCGGUAAUACGGAGGGUGCAAGCGUUAUCCGGAUUUAUUGGGUUUAAAGGGUCCGUAGGCGGACUUAUAAGUCAGUGGUGAAAGCCUGUCGCUUAACGAUAGAACUGCCAUUGAUACUGUAAGUCUUGAGUAUAUUUGAGGUAGCUGGAAUAAGUAGUGUAGCGGUGAAAUGCAUAGAUAUUACUUAGAACACCAAUUGCGAAGGCAGGUUACCAAGAUAUAACUGACGCUGAGGGACGAAAGCGAGGGGAGCGAACAGGAUUAGAUACCCUGGUAGUCCACGCCGUAAACGAUGCUAACUCGUUUUUGGGCUUUAGGGUUCAGAGACCAAGCGAAAGUGAUAAGUUAGCCACCUGGGGAGUACGCUCGCAAGAGUGGAACUCAAAGGAAUUGACGGGGGCCCGCACAAGCGGUGGAUUAUGUGGUUUAAUUCGAUGAUACGCGAGGAACCUUACCAAGACUUAAAUGGGAAUUGACAGCUUUAGAAAUAGAGCUUUCUUCGGACAAUUUUCAAGGUGCUGCAUGGUUGUCGUCAGCUCGUGCCGUGAGGUGUUAGGUUAAGUCCUGCAACGAGCGCAACCCCUGUCACUAGUUGCCAUCAUUCAGUUGGGGACUCUAGUGAGACUGCCUACGCAAGUAGAGAGGAAGGUGGGGAUGACGUCAAAUCAUCACGGCCCUUACGUCUUGGGCCACACACGUAAUACAAUGGCCGGUACAGAGGGCAGCUACACAGCGAUGUGAUGCAAAUCUCGAAAGCCGGUCUCAGUUCGGAUUGGAGUCUGCAACUCGACUCUAUGAAGCUGGAAUCGCUAGUAAUCGCGCAUCAGCCAUGGCGCGGUGAAUACGUUCCCGGGCCU